CAGAGUUGCAAAACUCCCAAACCCACUGUGAACGUACCUGUCCUUGUUCCUUCGGUAGGCGGCCCCCGGGGGGGCUUCGCCGUCGAUCGGCGCCUACCGAGGGACAACCAAACUCUGCUGCUUCAGUGUUACUUCUGAGCAACUAAACAAAUAAGUCA
rnacentral:misc_RNA from 1 species